GAUGAACGCUGGCGGCGUGCCUAAUACAUGCAAGUCGAACGCUUCACUUCGGUGAAGAGUGGCGAACGGGUGAGUAAUACAUAAGUAACCUGGCAUCUACAGGGGGAUAACUGAUGGAAACGUCAGCUAAGACCGCAUAGGUGUAGAGAUCGCAUGAACUCUAUAUGAAAAGUGCUACGGGACUGAUAGAUGAUGGACUUAUGGCGCAUUAGCUUGUUGGUAGGGUAACGGCCUACCAAGGCGACGAUGCGUAGCCGACCUGAGAGGGUGACCGGCCACACUGGGACUGAGACACGGCCCAGACUCCUACGGGAGGCAGCAGUAGGGAAUUUUCGGCAAUGGGGGAAACCCUGACCGAGCAACGCCGCGUGAAGGAAGAAGUAAUUCGUUAUGUAAACUUCUGUCAUAGAGGAAGAACGGUGGAUAUAGGGAAUGAUAUCCAAGUGACGGUACUCUAUAAGAAAGCCACGGCUAACUACGUG
rnacentral:rRNA from 1 species